GCCCCGGUAGCUCAGUGGAUAGAGCGGCCGCCUCCUAAGCGGCAGGUCGCCGGUUCAAUUCCGGCUCGGGGCACCA
rnacentral:tRNA from 1 species